GCGCAGCCUCUCUAGAUCUGCGAGGCGCAGCCCCUCUAGAUCUGCGAGGCGCAGCCCCUCUAGUUCUGCGAUGCAGCCCCUCUGUCAGCGAGGCGCAGCUCCUCUAGAUUUGCGAGGCGCAGCCCCUCUAGAUCUGCUCGACGUAACCUCUAAACUUGCGAGGAUUUUCGUCAUGUAAAGCUCAUAAAUAGGCCUCAGCGUUUAUGAAUCGUUAGAAAUAACGAGACUAAGGCAAAAAAUUGUCUAAAAGAAAGUUAUUAAUCGGGACUAAGAUUCUGUGACGGAAUUUGAACAUUUUUUCCAAGCAGUUAUGAAACUUUUGAGACAGAUAACGAGAUAUACCAUUUGUAAGGGAAAUUCACCUUAUUCCGGCUGUUGGAAGAAUUAUGUUUGUGAUCAAUUAGUUUUGGCGACUUUAGUGUCUCUAUUAGGCUAUGCCUAUAAGGUUGGCUACACGGCCACACGCGUGACGUGGCCGCCCCGAUAUUGGGGCCCGCUUUAGUGCUGGGUUCAGUUAUUCGCCAGGACUCAGUCGGAGCUUACCUACCGUCACUGCUAACUAGUGUACUUGUAGCGUUUCUAUUAGGACCGAUCUCUUGCCUGGCCAGCGGGAACGGCUCCUAUUUAGGCCGACACUGGCGGUGUUGCGUCACCUAAGUAUCCGCAUAUUCGAGCCCCUAUUGCUGAUGUGCACCUCAGCUGCUGCUGUGCACCUCGACUGCUGCUGUGCACCUCGUCUGCUGCAGUGCCUCCGUACUGUGUGCCCCUACUACUCUACCUACCGUCGGGCCCCGUAUCCCGUGGUCCACUCCACCUUCCGUCAUUUAGAUUAGGAUUGAUUGUUUCAAUAUUUAUUUUCGUGUUUAAAGUGUUCCGCUAGUUAUUUUCGUGUUAGUGUUUUCGCUAGUUAGUUCCACUAUGUGUUUUCGUUGUUAGUGUUCGUUUUAGUAAAUUUAAGGGUAUUUGGUUUUCAUUUCCUUCGUUGAGGUUCGGUGGCAGCUUAGGGUUAAUUCUUAGGGCCCAAUUGGAGUCGGUCCUGCUCUCAAUUCCUUUACACCAUUAAUAUAUUACGUUACGGAACAAAAAAUCAUAACGAAUAUGCAGAUGAAGGAUCCUCAAGGUAAACCCAUUAUAAUUAUUAAUGGGCAGAUGGCGGACAUGGCGGCCAUUUGGCUGCCAAUACAGCUUGGUCGUUACGAGAGGAUGUUAUUAGGAAUUUAAACUUGAUUUGCUACACAAAAUAGAUUUUCCAAGUUAGAAACGAAAGUAAAGCGAGAAUAUUAUAUCUAGUAAAUGUGUGAUUGAAG